UUGAAACACCAGUUCCAGUAUAAUCACUGAAGGUAAGCAAAGUUGAGUCUGGUCAGUACCUAGUUGGGUGUCUGCUUGGGAAUACCAGGUGCUGUAAGC